UAGGGAAUCUUCCGCAAUGGGCGAAAGCCUGACGGAGCAACGCCGCGUGAGUGAUGAAGGUCUUCGGAUUGUAAAACUCUGUUAUUAGGGAAGAACAAAUGUGUAAGUAACUAUGCACGUCUUGACGGUACCUAAUCAGAAAGCCACGGCUAACUACGUGCCAGCAGCCGCGGUAAUACGUAGGUGGCAAGCGUUAUCCGGAAUUAUUGGGCGUAAAGCGCGCGUAGGCGGUUUUUUAAGUCUGAUGUGAAAGCCCACGGCUCAACCGUGGAGGGUCAUUGGAAACUGGAGAACUUGAGUGCAGAAGAGGAAAGUGGGAUUCCAUGUGUAGCGGUGAAAUGCGCAGAGAUAUGGAGGAACACCAGUGGCGAAGGCGACUUUCUGGUCUGUAACUGACGCUGAUGUGCGAAAGCGUGGGGAUCAAACAGG
rnacentral:rRNA from 1 species